CGGCGAUGUCCGAAUGGGGAAACCCAGUGCAAUUCGUUGCACUAUCGUUAACUGAAUACAUAGGUUAACGAGGCGAACCGGGGGAACUGAAACAUCUAAGUACCCCGAGGAAAAGAAAUCAACCGAGAUUCCCCCAGUAGCGGCGAGCGAACGGGGAGCAGCCCAGAGCCUGAAUCAGUGUGUGUGUUAGUGGAAGCGUCUGGAAAGGCGCGCGAUACAGGGUGACAGCCCCGUACACAAAAAUGCACAUGCUGUGAGCUCGAUGAGUAGGGCGGGACACGUGGUAUCCUGUCUGAAUAUGGGGGGACCAUCCUCCAAGGCUAAAUACUCCUGACUGACCGAUAGUGAACCAGUACCGUGAGGGAAAGGCGAAAAGAACCCCGGCGAGGGGAGUGAAAAAGAACCUGAAACCGUGUACGUACAAGCAGUGGGAGCACGCUUAGGCGUGUGACUGCGUACCUUUUGUAUAAUGGGUCAGCGACUUAUAUUCUGUAGCAAGGUUAACCGAAUAGGGGAGCCGAAGGGAAACCGAGUCUUAACUGGGCGUUAAGUUGCAGGGUAUAGACCCGAAACCCGGUGAUCUAGCCAUGGGCAGGUUGAAGGUUGGGUAACACUAACUGGAGGACCGAACCGACUAAUGUUGAAAAAUUAGCGGAUGACUUGUGGCUGGGGGUGAAAGGCCAAUCAAACCGGGAGAUAGCUGGUUCUCCCCGAAAGCUAUUUAGGUAGCGCCUCGUGAAUUCAUCUCCGGGGGUAGAGCACUGUUUCGGCAAGGGGGUCAUCCCGACUUACCAACCCGAUGCAAACUGCGAAUACCGGAGAAUGUUAUCACGGGAGACACACGGCGGGUGCUAACGUCCGUCGUGAAGAGGGAAACAACCCAGACCGCCAGCUAAGGUCCCAAAGUCAUGGUUAAGUGGGAAACGAUGUGGGAAGGCCCAGACAGCCAGGAUGUUGGCUUAGAAGCAGCCAUCAUUUAAAGAAAGCGUAAUAGCUCACUGGUCGAGUCGGCCUGCGCGGAAGAUGUAACGGGGCUAAACCAUGCACCGAAGCUGCGGCAGCGACGCUUAUGCGUUGUUGGGUAGGGGAGCGUUCUGUAAGCCUGCGAAGGUGUGCUGUGAGGCAUGCUGGAGGUAUCAGAAGUGCGAAUGCUGACAUAAGUAACGAUAAAGCGGGUGAAAAGCCCGCUCGCCGGAAGACCAAGGGUUCCUGUCCAACGUUAAUCGGGGCAGGGUGAGUCGACCCCUAAGGCGAGGCCGAAAGGCGUAGUCGAUGGGAAACAGGUUAAUAUUCCUGUACUUGGUGUUACUGCGAAGGGGGGACGGAGAAGGCUAUGUUGGCCGGGCGACGGUUGUCCCGGUUUAAGCAUGUAGGCGGAGGUUCCAGGUAAAUCCGGUACCUUUUAACGCUGAGGUGUGAUGACGAGGCACUACGGUGCUGAAGUGAUAAAUGCCCUGCUUCCAGGAAAAGCCUCUAAGCAUCAGGUAACACGAAAUCGUACCCCAAACCGACACAGGUGGUCAGGUAGAGAAUACCAAGGCGCUUGAGAGAACUCGGGUGAAGGAACUAGGCAAAAUGGUGCCGUAACUUCGGGAGAAGGCACGCUGAUAUGUAGGUGAAGCGACUUGCUCGUGGAGCUGAAAUCAGUCGAAGAUACCAGCUGGCUGCAACUGUUUAUUAAAAACACAGCACUGUGCAAACACGAAAGUGGACGUAUACGGUGUGACGCCUGCCCGGUGCCGGAAGGUUAAUUGAUGGGGUUAGCGCAAGCGAAGCUCUUGAUCGAAGCCCCGGUAAACGGCGGCCGUAACGAUAACGGUCCUAAGGUAGCGAAAUUCCUUGUCGGGUAAGUUCCGACCUGCACGAA
rnacentral:rRNA from 1 species